GGCCAGGCCUCCGGAGGGUGCUGGUUCCACCCAUCCUGACCUGACGCCCUCUUCCAUUGCAGAGUGACCAUCACCAUGCUGGUAGCCACCGCGGUCUGCUGUUACCUCUUCUGGCUCAUCACUAUCCUGGCUCAGCUGAAUCCCCUUUUCGGGCCGCAGCUGAAGAAUGAGACCAUCUGGUACGUGCGUUUCCUGUGGGAGUGACCGCCGCCACUUCGGCCGCAGGUGCCCCAGCUCUCCGGAUGACUUUGGCUGUCCUGUCCCCGACGACCCCUCUGUCCCCACCCUCACAGCUGUAUCUGGGUCCCUCCAUGGCUUCCUCCCCCAGGAUCUGCCUGGUGCCAGCAGCUCCUGCCUUCUCCAUCCAGGGGGCGGCCCGAAGCUGAGUCAGGCUGGAGCAGAAGGUCUCCAGCCCUCAACUCCCCCUGCCCCUCCCAAGUAGACCCCAGCUGGGAGCUGACAGGGGUGGGACCUGUCUUUUACCAGUGAGGCAGCCCCAGGAAGUCUGCGUGUCCUGUGGAGAAGGGGUGUCCAGCCCGGGAUGCUCCAAGCCUGGGCUGGGCUGGGCUGGGCUGGACCUGGGAGAAAGCCCCGGAUGGGGAGUCCGCUGGUUCCCUUCAGCUCUGUCACUGUCCUCCUGCGCGACCCUGGGAAGCAUCUCUGGCUCCUCUGAGAGACGGAGAGACCUAUUAGGGUGUCACAAAGGCCUUUCCUGGGAUUCUUUAAUUUUCGGACACAUAGAGAUGGGAAAUUUUUGAGAAAGUUGAAGUGAGUAAUGGAAAAACACUCCCACACAAAAAGCAACAUAGUGAUUUGGGUCAGGAUUGAAACCAAUCUGUUUAGGAUUCUUUACGGUUGUGAAGUCACGUCAGUGGGCUUGCUUGGAAAACCGUGUCUCCUUAGACUAUCCUGUUCCACCUUCCUCCCUUGUCCUGGUCCCUCCUCUGUGAAUAAGCUCCCCGCUGCCUGGGGGCUCAGUCUGAGCACUGCGGCCUGGAUUCCCUCAUUUGAGUGUAGUGGGCGUGGAUUUCAGAGCCCCCCAACCCCAUAGCAGCAGCUUGGUCGCCUGGAGUUAGGAUGAGAGAGACAAGUGGGGGUGAGGUGUGGGCGCUGCUGUGGCCCACUGGGCCCAUCCUAGCCCCCAAGGGCAGCACCAGACCUGUCCGCCCGGAGUGGCCUGAGCUCUGUGCUGGGACGGUGAGGGCGGAGGAGCACCAGGCCUGACGAGGCCUGGAAGGCAGAACGUGCAGGCCUCAGACCAGAGGGGACCCAGGACUCCCGCCCGAGCCCUCACUCCUCCCGGGAGAGUUGAGGUUGAGACCUCAGGCAACCCCCACCCCCACCACAUUGCCUCCCUGGGGGAAGGCGCCAAUCUUGAAUAUUUAUUGAGUGUAUUUAUGUGAUUAACAUUCCAUUUAGUGGGCAUUACUUCAGAACAGUGGUCGAUUGCGAUAUGUCUCACGUAGAUUUCCUGGUUCUGGGCUUGGCCUGUUGCUCAGAGCUCUGACUGGGGUCUCCCUUUGACAUCCCACCUCACCCACCUUUCAGACUCCCUUCCCGUCCUGCCCUCUGUGGGCCUCCUGGAGUGGGGGAUGCUGAGUGUGGGUUGUACUGAAAACCUGAUCCACGUCCAGUGGCUCAUGAGUGGUGGCCAAGUCCUGGCUGAGGCCGAGUUUGCUGGCUGCUCCCGUAUGCUCAGUGGGUGGGUGGGGGGCACCGGGCUGGACGCUUGGAGCUGCGGAUCAUGGACACUGCAAACGACAUUCUCCUGAGACCUGAAGGAGAAGACACGGCAUCCCUGAUUCUGCCCAGAAACAGUCCUGGCAGAGGGAAGACUCAGGAUGGUUCAAGUGGAACUCUGACCACCACUCAUCUGUACCCCAGAUACAGCACACAGCUCCUGAGGCUGAAUAAUAAAGCAGGUCCCCCAGAUCUCCA
rnacentral:lncRNA from 1 species